AACAGAGAAACGGGCUUCAGUAAGGUGUUCAACUCCAGCGCUAACGUGGGCGUCAUUAACCCACUCAUUAAGCCUUCCUGAAGUCGACGCUGUGAAACCGUCCGACACAGGAAAAAAACACAAAGAACACACCAACGAAGAAGAA